ensembl:lncRNA
CUUCUGGUGCAUCAGAGGACCUACACAGGUGAAAGACCCUACGCCUGCUUGGACUAUGGGAACAGCUUCAAUUGGAGAUUGGGGCUUGUCCAGCACCAGAAGACUCACAUGGGGGGAAAACCUCAUGAGUGCACUGAAUGCGGGCAAGGUUCAGGCAGAAAUCAAACCCGACUAAGCACGUGAGGCUCCACACCAGGGAGAAGCCCUAUAAAUGUCCCCAGUGUAGGAAAAGCUUUCAUUAGAAGAUCACCCUUUCCCAGCAUCAUGUUAUACACACCAGCAACAGAGCCCUCACAAAUGCAGCAAGUGUUAGAAAGCUUCACUGUCAAAUCAAACCUUGUUCAACACCCGAUGCCACAAAUAAGCAAUAGGCAUUGGAUAGCACAAAAUGGAAGAUGGAAAGAUAUAACCACUUCACCAGGGUACAGCCUUGAAUUAUUAAAAGAAAUUGCUUAAAAAGGGUGAAAUUCCAAUAAACAACAUCACAAGGUGGGUGAGGUGAUAACUUAUUUUUUAUUUCUACUGGCCAUUUGCCAACCAAGUGCUCAGACUUCAGCUCAGUUUCUCUGCUGUUUCCAUGGGUAUCCAGUAGAUGGCGGUAGUGUACAACAAAAGUCUUCAAUCCUUUUCCUAUCAGAGUCUUUUUGUUUGAUUCAUUUCAAGGAUUGUAUUUCAGAUUAGCCUGCCUCAUUUAUUACAUGGAGUGUAGUUGUAGCCGUGUUGGUCCCAGGAUCCUAGAGAAACAUGGCUAUUCUUAUUUCCAUGCUGCUGCUGGUGGCAACGCUGCCUUCAGGGCAGGGAGGCUGUGAAAAGUGAAAUGAACAAACACACAAAUCUCACUUUUCACAGCAGACUUGCUAGCGCAGAAUUCACAGCAGCAGCGCAGCAGGACGGGUGGCAAUGGGGCGCUAAGUCUGCUGUGAAAAGUGAUAUUGACAAAAUUCCUUUGCACCUCAUCAACGGUAUUAAACAUUAACUAUUUUCCAAAAUAACUUUUCUGCUUAGAAUAAUUCAAUAAAAAUGUGUUUUAGUCUUAAGUUGAUCUAAUAAAAGAUAUCACUUCACCCAUCUUGUUUCUCUAGUAUCCUGGGACCAACACGGCUACAACUACACUGCAUGCAAUAAAUGAGACGGGCUAAUCUGAAAUACAAUCCUUGAAAUGAAUCAAACAUAAAAAGAUAUAGGAAAAGGAUUGAAGACUUUUGUUGUACACUACCUCCAUCUACUGGAUACCCAUGGAAGCAGCAGAGAAACUGGGCUGAAAUCUGAGCACUCGGUUGGCAAAUGACCAGUAGAAAUUACAGGGAGGCCCCCUCCAACAACGACUGGAGUUGGGGUCUAUAAAACUGAGGUCACGCUGUGGGAGGAGCCUGGGGUUGACUGAACCCAUGAAGAAGCUGCAGUAUCCCCAGAUGUUCGGAAAGCAUUCUCCCCCUUGAUCCAGGGUUACCAGGAUAAGAAGAAGAGGUGAGAUUUCAUUUCAAAGAUUGUAUUUCCCCUUCUGUUCUUUAACAUAAGCUGAAGGUUGUAUUGUGUAAGUCAAUAUUCUCUAGUGAGACAUCACGUAACAACACUAUAGAUUUUCACUAAUGCUAUAAGCACUCUCUCCUUUAUAAACUCAAACAAACUGGCCUGCGAGAGAUUUAAAACAAUAACUUUAAGCAAUUGCUUUUAAUAGUCUAAACUUGUCUCUUUUGGACCAAUCCAUUCAAGUAGCCGCAAUCACGCUCUUCAAAGUGCCUUAAAGAUAAGUACCUCCUUGGAACUGCCAUAAUG